rnacentral:rRNA from 1 species
GGUUCUCUCCGAAAUAGCUUUAGGGCUAGCCUCAAGUGAUGAUUAUUGGAGGUAGAGCACUGUUUGGACGAGGGGCCCCUCUCGGGUUACCGAAUUCAGACAAACUCCGAAUGCCAAUUAAUUUAACUUGGGAGUCAGAACAUGGGUGAUAAGGUCCGUGUUCGAAAGGGAAACAGCCCAGACCACCAGCUAAGGUCCCAAAAUAUAUGUUAAGUGGAAAAGGAUGUGGCGUUGCCCAGACAACUAGGAUGUUGGCUUAGAAGCAGCCAUCAUUUAAAGAGUGCGUAAUAGCUCACUAGUCGAGUGACACUGCGCCGAAAAUGUACCGGGGCUAAACAUAUUACCGAAGCUGUGGAUUGUCCUUUGGACAAUGGUAGGAGAGCGUUCUAAGGGCGUUGAAGCAUGAUCGUAAGGACAUGUGGAGCGCUUAGAAGUGAGAAUGCCGGUGUGAGUAGCGAAAGACGGGUGAGAAUCCCGUCCACCGAUUGACUAAGGUUUCCAGAGGAAGGCUCGUCCGCUCUGGGUUAGUCGGGUCCUAAGCUGAGGCCGACAGGCGUAGGCGAUGGAUAACAGGUUGAUAUUCCUGUACCACCUAUAAUCGUUUUA